UACAGAGGGGGCAAGCGUUAUUCGGAAUUAUUGGGCGUAAAGGGCGCGUAGGCGGCUUUGCAAGUGACGGGUGAAAGCCCUCGGCUUAACCGAGGAACUGCCUGUCAGACUGUAAGGCUUGAGACCGGGAGAGGUGAGUGGAAUUCCUGGUGUAGCGGUGAAAUGCGCAGAUAUCAGGAGGAACACCAGCGGCGAAGGCGGCAUCCUGGACCGGUAUUGACGCUGAGGCGCGAAAGCCAGGGGAGCAAACGGG
rnacentral:rRNA from 1 species